UGACGGAGAGGAGUAGUGUAUUGGUGGCAACCACAGUCUUUACCUUAAGUAAGCUGGAGCUCGGACGUGUUGGAGGCGCCUCUGGAGGAGGUUGGAUGUCGUUGCCCACGCAGCAAUCCCUCGAAGGACAACAGCCGAUCCUCCCCCGUGUGCCCACUUGUCAAGCUGGGCGGGAAGCCCAGUAUUGUUUGCAGUUUCAUCUGUAAGGCCCACCAGCCGUCAGUCAUCGACUAAACCCGUAUCUGCUUGGAAUACAGACCUCUGAAUAUCUUCAGUGGUGAGUAGCGCAUUAACAGCCCAGCCCCGUGAAUACUCACCUGUGUAUGGAACACUGUACUUACAUUGAGAGCUAGAACCCCUGCACGCUAACAGCUCAGCCCUGUGAAUACUUACCUGUGUAUGGAACACUGUACUUACAUUGAGAGCUAGAACCCCUGCACGCUAACAGCUCAGCCCUGUGAAUACUUACCUGUGUAUCGAACACUGUACUUACCUGAGAGCUAGAACCCCUGCACGCUAACAGCUCAGCCCUGUGAAUACCCACCUGUGUAUGGAACACUGUACUUACAUUGAGAGCUAGAACCCCUGCACGCUAACAGCUCAGCCCUGUGAAUACUUACCUGUGUAUGGAACACUGUACUUACAUUGAGAGCUAGAACCCCUGCACGCUAACAGCUCAGCCCUGUGAAUACUUACCUGUGUAUCGAACACUGUACUUACCUGAGAGCUAGAACCCCUGCACGCUAACAGCCCAGCCCUGUGAAUACCCACCUGUGUAUCGAACACUGCAUUUACCUGAGAGCUAGAACCCCUGCACGCUAACAGCCCAGCCCUGUGAAUACUUACCUGUGUAUGGAACACUGUACUUACAUUGAGAGCUAGAACCUCUGCACAUUAACAGCCCAGCCCUGUGAAUAUCCACCUGUGUAUCGAACACUGUACUUCCCUGAGAGCUAGAACCUCUGCACGCCAACAGCCCAGCCCUGUGAAUACUUACCUGUGUAUGGAACACUGUACUUACAUUGAGAGCUAGAACCUCUGCACAUUAACAGCCCAGCCCUGUGAAUAUCCACCUGUGUAUCGAACACUGUACUUCCCUGAGAGCUAGAACCCCUGCACGCUAACAGCUUAGCCCUGUGAAUACUCACCUGUGUAUUGAACUCUGUAUUUACCUGAGAGUUAGAACCCCUGCACGGUAACUGCCUAGCUCUUGCUUUAAACUUACCUGGAGUGGAGUCGGCGGGAAAUUAAGGGCUGAAGUGGAGUGUGGUCGAGGAAGGGCUGAAGAGGAGUGUUCUUGAGACUGGAAUCCGUAUUUGUGGAUAAAGAAUAGUUCGAGUCAUCAUUAGUUUUAAAGUUUCCUUACCCCUUUCCCCAAACUUUUAAAUAAAUAGAAUUGUUACAUUUUAA